rnacentral:rRNA from 1 species
GACGAACGCUGGCGGCGUGCUUAACACAUGCAAGUCGAGCGGUAAGGCCCUUUCGGGGGUACACGAGCGGCGAACGGGUGAGUAACACGUGGGUGACCUGCCCUCAGCUCUGGGAUAAGCCUGGGAAACCGGGUCUAAUACUGGAUAUGACUCCAUGACGCAUGUUGUGGGGUGGAAAGCCUUGUGCGGCUGAGGAUGGGCCCGCGGCCUAUCAGCUUGUUGGUGGGGUGANGGCCUACCAAGGCGACGACGGGUAGCCGGCCUGAGAGGGCGACCGGCCACACUGGGACUGAGACACGGCCCAGACUCCUACGGGAGGCAGCAGUGGGGAAUCUUGCGCAAUGGGCGAAAGCCUGACGCAGCGACGCCGCGUGAGGGAUGACG